rnacentral:rRNA from 1 species
AAUAGAUACCCGGGUAGUCCAUGCCGUAAACGUUGGGAACUAGAUGUAGGGCCUGUUCCACGGGUUCUGUGUCGUAGCUAACGCAUUAAGUUCCCCGCCUGGGGAGUACGGCCGCAAGGCUAAAACUCAAAGGAAUUGACGGGGGCCCGCACAAGCGGCGGAGCAUGCGGAUUAAUUCGAUGCAACGCGAAGAACCUUACCAAGGCUUGACAUAUACGGGAACGGGCCAGAAAUGGUCAACUCUUUGGACACUCGUAUACAGGUGGUGCAUGGUUGUCGUCAGCUCGUGUCGUGAGAUGUUCGGUUAAGUCCGGCAACGAGCGCAACCCUCGUCCUAUGUUGCCAGCACGUGAUGGUGGGAACUCAUGGGAUACUGCCGUGGUCAACACGGAGGAAGGUGGGGAUGACGUCAAAUCAUCAUGCCCCUUAUGUCUUGGGCUUCACGCAUGCUACAAUGGCCGGUACAAUGGGCUGCGAUACCGUAAGGUGGAGCGAAUCCCAAAAAGCCGGUCUCAGUUCGGAUUGGGGUCUGCAACUCGACCCC